GUGGCAGAAGAAAUAGGGAGGAGGAGAUGGAUCUAAAAGACUUGUAGCAGAAUUUGGUAACUUUGAAGACAUGGAGAUAAAGGGAGAGGUAUGAUUCCCGGGUUCUUGCCCUCGGCUAUUUAUUGAGUUGGGUGCCAAAGGCGAAGUAGGUGGGGGUUGAUGGGAUAAAUGGGUCGGGGGGAAUACUUUUGGAAGUGGGUUUGAAAUGCUUUUAGGAUAUCCAAGUGCAAAUAUCUGCUGUCAAUGGCUAUGUGGGUUGGUCUGAAGCUUAGGGGCACAGUGAGGUAAGAACUGCCUCAUCUGCUGCCUAUCAAUUCUGGACUAUUUUCAUACUUUCUAGUUGCCCACAGCAAGCCAGGUUCCCCACCCCCUCCUUUUCUUUUUGUUUUGAGAUGGAGUUUCACUCCUGUUGCCCAGGCUGGAGUGCAAUGGUAUGAUCUCAUCUCACUGCAACCCCCGCC
rnacentral:lncRNA from 1 species